rnacentral:rRNA from 1 species
GAUGAACGCUAGCGGCAGGCUUAAUACAUGCAAGUCAAGGGGGUAGCAAUACAACCGGCGCACGGGUGAGUAACGCGUACACAACAUACCAUAUACUGGGGUAUAGCUUCGGGAAACUGAAGGUAAUCCCCCAUAAUAUUGCGGGAAGGCAUCUUUCUGCAAUUAAAGUUUCGACGGUAUAUGAUUGGUGUGCGUUUGAUUAGCUAGUUGGUAGGGUAACGGCCUACCAAGGCGACGAUCAAUAGCUGGCGUGAGAGCGCGACCAGCCACACUGGAACUGAGACACGGUCCAGACUCCUACGGGAGGCAGCAGUAGGGAAUAUUGGACAAUGGGCGAAAGCCUGAUCCAGCCAUGCCGCGUGAUAGAUGAAGGCCCUCUGGGUUGUAAAUAUCUUUUUAAUCUUGGGAAGAAACUCCUCUAUUCUUAGAGGCCUGACGGUACCAGAGGAAUAAGCACCGGCUAACUCCGUGCCAGCAGCCGCGGUAAUGUCAGUG